GCCUACGGCCAUGCCACCCUGAAAGCGCCCGAUCUCGUCUGAUCUCGGAAGCUAAGCAGGGACGGGCUUGGUUAGUACCUGGAUGGGAGACCGCCUGGGAAUACCAGGUGUUGUAGGCU
rnacentral:rRNA from 1 species